CUUCCAGCCUCCUGAGCGAUGGGGAGGAAGGAGUGGAAAUUCCUACCUGCCUUCUGCUCCCUUCCCCACCUGCAGCCACAGCCCUGCACGUCACAAACAAAGCUCCGGUAGGAAGUCAAGGAGUCUUUGCAAUGGCAUCUGCCCCUGCCCAGGGCCUCUGCCCUUGGCAGGAUCCAGGACAGGCCUUGGCUCCAGCCUUCAGCGCCUGGACCCCAGGACCGCCCACAGUCUCAGAGGCCUCUGCCCUGGCCCACUUCCCCGGCCCCAUUCCCCACUUAGGAGCAGCUUCUGUCUGCAAAGCCGGGGUAGGUUUAAAAAAACAAAAUCGAUAGAAACUCCAGCGGGUCUUGCACAUUCUUGGUUGAGAAGUCAGGUGUGCAACUUAGAACAACAGGCCACUUCACCUCUCUGGAUUUCAGAGUCUUCCUCAACGGACAAAAUCAGCGUGAAGACAGCUUGAAAAGUAUACAGCCCCUUUCAAGGGUCAGCAAUAAAUAUUAGGCCACUUAAUCGUGGGUUAAAUGAGAUAAUGUGUGCAAACCACCCAGCCCAGGCCCCACAGGUAGCAGAGGUUACUUGUCUAUGACUAAAUUCCCUCGAACUGGAGAUUGUAAGAUGCACCGUUGUUUUAUGUUCCACUAAGAAAGAAAUGCUGCUGUCAAUGGAUUGAGAGACACAUCUCAGAUUUCAGAGACAUGUGCACCUUAGAAUUGAUGAAAUACUGUAUCAUUGGGAGGACGAGGAGGGGGCAAGAAGAAUGUCAGUCCCGGGGCUGGCCUUGGCAAGCCAUGCUGUGGUACGUGUCCCACGUAUAAAGUAGAGGAAGAUGGGCACGGCUGUUAGCUUAGGGCCAGUCUUCCUCAGCAAAAAAGAGGAGGAUUGGUAGCAGAUGUUAGCUCAGGGCUAAUCUUCCUCAAAAAGAAUAAAAAAAAGACUGUCAAUCCCAGUGGUAGUAGCUUUCCAUUUGGGAUGCAUUUUAGACUAGGAUGCCCAGAUUGCAUCCCAAUUAAACCAUAACCUCUGGGGUGUGGCCCAGUAAUCUCUCUGUGCCUUGGUCUCCCGCUCUAUAAAACUGGGAUAAUUCUAGAAUCUACUUCUGGGGCUGUUGUAUUGAAUGAGCUAAUUCAUGUAAACAAUUUAGAAUAGUGCCAGGCCCACAGAAAUGUUGAAAUAAAUGUUAACGAUUACUCAACUCUGUACCCCAGGUCCUGGCACACUCUAGGUGCUUCCUAAAUGUGGGUUGAAUAGAGGAGUAAACACCGUCAUGUGACUGCUGCCCUGCCGGCCUGGCCCCCAACUGGGAGAGGCCCAAGUCUGGGGGCGGCCUCUGUCUGGGGGUGGGGGCCCAAGAAGAGGCUCACCUGCCCAAGGGCCUUCUGUCCAAAGUUCAAGGGAGCCGCACCCUUCCCUUCCUGGGCGCUGCACCCCGCCCCCUAGGGCUGCCGUGGGGUGGGCGCUCCCCCGCCAGACCCGCCACAGCCUCCUGGAGUCAAUGACAAGAAGCAAACCUCUCCCCCGGUCUCCACCCCUCCCCUUUCCUGCUUUUCUUAUGUUCUUUUCCAUAAAGAUUAGUCUGUGUUGCUCCUCUAUCAAGGCCUGGAGGAUAAACAUGUGGUCCAGAGGCAGAGAAACCCCAGGCUUGAAGGCCCCGCUGCCCCCACCCAGGCAGCGUAAACCCAGGGCUUUUAAGCAAGGAAUGGUUUUCAGUAAAUCUCUCCUAUCAGCAGAAACCUUUGAAAGAGUUUGUUUAAAGGCCAGGGAGAUAAACAGCAAGGAGAAGUGUUUGUUUAAGAUGUAUGUUCUGUGUGGCCACUCUGGGGCCCGGAUUCACAUCUAAGGGAGAGGAGCCACUCAGAGACCAGGGUGGGGGCCUCCCAGGGGCGCCCAGGGCCUGUGGGUGUGGACUCCAGCCCAGGCAGGGACGGAGUUGUCAGGGGAGAGAAGCGAGCUGGACUGCACCUGCAGGCCCCUCCCAGGCUGGGGCAGGACACGGGGGUGGAAAGGAGCUGCAGGAAGGGGAAGGAGCCCUCCUCACCCUGUCAGGAGGGCAGGGAGGGGCUCCCAGAAGGAGCUGCUGGUUGGCUGCAGGCAGAAAUCCCCCGGGAAGCCCGCUGCCCCGCCCCCAACUCAAAGUUCAGAACAGGCCCAGCUCAGGGCCCACCCCAGAUGGCCCAUACUCAGCAGCCCAAAAUAAAGGAGGACUCGAAUCUGGGUAUCGCAGGCUCUGACCUUGGACAAGCCACCUACCCCAUAACUCGAGCCCUAGUUCCUCUCUGUUGUGAAAAUAACACGCCUGUCUCAAAGGAUUUUGAAUAUUCCUCUUUCCAUCUGACGAACAGGCAUUGAGUACCUGCUUUAUACCAGAUACUGUUCUGAGUGCUUGGGAUACAACGGUAAACAAAAUAAACCAAGUCUCUGCCCAUUUGGAACCUAAAAUGGAGGGAAAUAGACAAUGAGCAUGAUAAUGAGUAAAUUACAUAUUACAUUAGAAGGUGAUGGGGGCCAGCCCCAUGGCCGAGUGGUUGAGUUCACACGCUCCACUUCGGCAGCCCAGGGUUUCGCUGGUUUAGAUCCUGGGCGCGGACAUGGCACCGCUCGUCAAGCCAUGCUGAGGCGGCGGCCCACAUGCCACAACUAGGAGGACCCACAACUAAAAAAAAAAAAUACACAACUAUGUACCAGGGGACUUUGGGGAGAAAAAGAAAAAAUAAAAUCUUAAAGAAAAAAAAAAAAAAAAGAGGCAGAAGGUGAUGGGAGCUAUGGAAAGAAAUGGAGCAGGGUACAAGGAAUUGGGAAUGGAUGGUCUGGUUUGGGCUAACUGAGCAGGUGGCUUUGAAGGAGAUGCAGAUCUCAGAGGGGAGAGGGGUCCAGGCAGAACCUCAGCCAGGGCAACACCUGGGGAACUGAAUGAAAUGCCCUGUGUGAAACGCAUGGCACAAGCUCUGGAGCAUGGUCCUGUGGUCAUAAAUAAUGGCGGAUGUUGUCGUUAAAGCAAUUAUUAGGGCAGGGGGGCUCUCAGGGAGGAAGCAGGACCUGAGCUGGGCUUCCCCUGGAAUUCCUUGUCCCUACCAAGUAGACAGGAGAUAAGGCAUCUCUGGAGCAAAGCAUCUUGGAGAUGGGGAGACAGGCAGACUAAUGACAGGGCUCGUGGUACCUGAGGAGUCUGGGGACAAAGGCAGCUGGAUUCUCUAGGAAAGCCCUCAGCCAGGAGCAGGAGUCUGGGCUCAGGUCCUGGCUCUGCCCCUUGCCUGCCAGGUCAUCUGGAGCAAGUGAAGUGACUUACUGCUCCCUGGGUCUUUCUUUCCAGUAAAUGGGAAUAAUAUAUCCUGCCCUCACAGGACGAUCGGGAGGAUGGAAGGGGGCACAGUGGGUGCUUGUGCCUGGGACACAGUAGAUGCUCGGUAAACAUUAGGUGUAUUU
ensembl:lncRNA